rnacentral:lncRNA from 1 species
GAUGUCCCCUUCUUGGGGGGCUUAAAUGAAUGCAGUUCCUUUCCCUCACUUUCCAUCCUCAGGGAUAAGUAAACUUGCAAUCUUUGUGUUUCAGGGUAAUGGGGAGAUGGACGGAGUUGUUGGUAUGAGGGAUCAAGCUGUUCUAUUCAGGAGGGAAUGAAGAGUGAUGAGAAGAGAUGCUGCUCAAGCUGCUCAGAGCCUAGAGGGGAGACCUGAGACCUUAAAGAAGCAGACAGAAGGAGGAAGGGAGGAUCACGGGCCUUUCGUCGGUUCUACACGGUGUCACUUUACGGCAGAUUUCACGUGGGUGGCAGAGCUGAGCCUUUGCCGCGUGUUCCAGCUCCCAACUCCAUCCCUUUCUGGAUUCCCUGCUGGACACGUUCUUUCCUCUGGGACUAGCACACUUGGAUUUGGCUCAGUUCCUUCUGGAAGCCGAAGAUGAGCAGGAAGGGAGGAUCACGGGCCUUUCGUCGGUUCUACACGGUGUCACUUUACGGCAGAUUUCACGUGGGUGGCAGAGCUGAGCCUUUGCCGCGUGUUCCAGCUCCCAACUCCAUCCCUUUCUGGAUUCCCUGCUGGACACGUUCUUUCCUCUGGGACUAGCACACUUGGAUUUGUCUCAGUUCCUUCUGGAAGCUGAAGAUGAGCAGGUAAGUUCCCUUUCCACUUCUGGGCAUUUACCUGGUCCUGGAUAGUUGUGACCCAGUGCUCAGUCUGGCAUUUUUGGUUUGCCUGCUCAGGUUUCUUUUUGUGUUUGAUGUUGAGAUUUUGAAGUUUGCCUUUUCUGUGCCGGUGAGUCUAGUGUCCUGGGUCUGGCAUUCCCGAGCCUAACUUCAAAUACACAGGCUACCUUCUUCUCCUGCUUCUUUUCCAAGCAUGGCUUAUUAAUUCAGCUGAACAAUGUUGUUGCUAUUUCUAUUGACUGUAAGGUGAUGUGAGAGGCGGGGCUAUGGUGAUAAGGGGGUGGAGCCAUGGUGAUGAGGGAGAUGGAAAAGUCAAGAGAUUGAAAAGUCAAGAGUUGAGUCUCAUCCUUGCUCUUACGUCUCCUGAAAUUCUGGAUCAAGACCCUCAGAGUGUAGUAGUAACCAGCCUGAAAGUGCCUGUUACUCUUUUGAAAACCAUCGGCAUUGUUUUGGGGCCUGCCAGACUCUGAGGAAUGCAUCUCCAAGUCAGUUUUUUUUUUUUUUUUUUUAGAAUGUAAAACAUAUUUUCUUGUGAAUGGCAGUUCUAUGAAAACUGAUUAAGAUUCUUGACUGUUCUUCAAAAUCUUUUAAAAUGCUAGGAAGUAAGUAAACAGGAGUUUGUUAAAUUAUUUUCUGUUUUUGUUUUUUUUUGGUAUGUUUGAAAUAUUUCAUAUGUAAAAAUAAAAUAAUUCAAUUUAAUGCAUAAUAUUCUGACCUCCGUGCAUCCUGGGAAGAGGGUCAAUAGAGAUGAGGGAGGGGAAGUUAAGGAAGGAAGACAAUUCUCUUUCUCUUGAUUUGUUUUGGGCACAACUUUGAAACAGGGUAGCUAUGUCCCUGGCUUUUUCAUGCUUUCCCUUCUGCAACCUCACCUGCCUCUCACUUCAUCCAGGGUGACAGUCCCAUUCCAGGCAGCCCUUGAACACUGUACUUUCCAAAUGUUCUCUGCCUUCAAAAUUGGGGUGUGGCUAGAAGUGUUUAGAAAGUGCUUCAAUUAUCUAUUGAUGCUCAAUAAAUUGUCUUGAAAUGUGGUGUCUUAAAACAGCUAUUUUAUUUGGUCACACCCUAUGGGUCAGGGAAGUAGGAUAGGGCAUAUGGGGAUAGAUGGUUGACAGUCUGUGUGUGAUCCAUGAUGUCUGGUCAGGAAAAGUUUAACAUUGAACAUAGUGAUUAGGAAUGUGGGGAUAUGGGAUCAGAUUGCUGGGGCCCAAAUCCUAGUUUUUCCAUGUAUUAGCUGAUGAAAUAAUGAUAAUCAUAGCCACUAACCUCAUAUGAGUAUUGUCUUCAAGUUGACUUUCAGGUGCAUUCUAGUAUUUAGUCUAGAUUGCCCAACUCUGCUGAUAAUGGUGGUAUUGUUAUAUUAUCAUUGCCAUUUACACUUAACCUUGAAAACUCAGCCUAGGCAUAUACAGGCAAGUUCUGGGGUUAGGCUGUUAAGGUCUCACAUGGGAAGGAUAAGCAUUUUGUCCUGUAGACAAAGAGGAAUUUCCAGCUGGGGAAUGACAGGAUCAAGCCCCUUCUCCCUCCCUUGUUCCUGCUCCCUCUGCCCUUUCUUCCUCAUUUCCUCUUCUCUCCCCACUUUAAAACGAUGACAGUAUGUUCAAGUUGUGCAAAUCAAAGGAAUAGAUUAGAAACAGGAGAAUAAAUGUGCUUAGCAGACCCAGGAAAUCUCCAGGGGAUUGGAAUUGAUUACCCAGCAUGUAAUAUACAAAACCAUCAUUUUUCUGCAUGUGGUGAACAAUGGUGAACAAUGGAAGUGAAGUAACUCCCCACUCCAGUCCCCCUAAUCUGAUGGAAUUUUCUCAGUAAUGUUGUGGAGUCAUAGGGGUGAGCAUGCACCAACUGGGCCAAUUCCCACUGGCCUUUAUUUUCUGGAAGGGUUGGCAGCAGAGGAAGACCAGAACCUUUUCCAGUGCACAUACCUACUUUAAUAUGGAGAGGAUUCUGCCUGUCCUGGGAGAUGCUGCGACCUUGGGAAGUUGUGUGGAUGAAAAGAUACAUGCUUUAUAUCAGACUUAAAAAAUAUAUCCUGUUAUCUUUCACCAUGUAAGGAAGGACUUCUUUACAUGGGAUCUGUGUGAACCCCAUAUGGUCCCAUUGUCAUCUGGGGUGGUCCUGGUAUUGGACUUCACUGGAUCCAACAGGGCCAAAUUUACUUCAGUAAUUGGAAAAUCUUGACUGUAUGAUGGGUGCAGGUUAGAGAAUGUUAGGCAGUCAUAAGCUUCAGAGUUUGUUUUGUAGUUCCUUUUAGUUUCAGUUGAGAUUGGCCAUAAGAACUUCGCUUUUCAUGGGUUCAAGUAACCAUGGGGCUGAAUUUCACUUAGUACUCAUCUUUUUUUUUGAUUCUGAAGGUUGGAUUUAUUUGAAUAAAGGGACAAGGGUAACAUGAGCUGCCAACCUAUAUGACGUUUUUGCAUGUAGUAGAAAAAAGCACUCUUUUAUGGCAUAUGUAGCACAUCAAAGUCAUGACUUAGGAGCAAGCAUGGCUAUAUUUUAGCCCCCUAGUUAUCUCCUGAAGGGAGAGUCUAUGCAAUGCCCAACUCACACGUCCAAAUGUGGCAGCCUUGUGUGAAGGGAAAGUAUAUAAUAAUAGGCUGACUUAGUAAUUCAGAAGUGUGCCUGAGUUUGGGACAUCCUUUCUGAUUCAGUAGGUUUUGAUUAGUGGCUUAGAGUUUCUGAUUUAGUAGGUCUGAGGUAGGGCCCAAGAAUUUGGAUUUCUAGUAGGUUCCUAAGUGAUGCCAGUAACCCUGGCCUGGGAGUUACAUUUCGAGCACCACUUCUGUGGGGUGUAAUUCCAUGACCCAGAUUUCCUCACUUCCAGGUGCUAGUUACCUGAUUUGCUCAUCAAACUCAAAUAUGCUUCUUUAUACAGUGGUGUAGGUUGGUCCCAAAUAUAUGGCUUCACUGGAACUUUCUGGAAGAGGAUUCUUCUAGCUGUUUUCCUAGCACUUCCCUGUACUCUAGAAGGCCAUUGAUAAAUUUGGGUCUGUGGCACCUCAACCAGCUCAGCCAUCAGCAUCAGAGUAGAGUUGAACCAGUUCUCCUUUUCUAGACCCUUUGUAUCCUUCAUAAUUCUCUCCUGGAGUAUUGCUUCUUGGACUCAAAUGUCGCGUGCUUGAUUUUAGUCUAGAGAUUUAUUUUUAUAUAGUCUGGAGAAAACAGUGCUAUUUUUUGUCAUCUAAGUGCAAAAAACAAAACAAAACUUAGUGUACUAGGAAAUUAUGCAGAGACAGUUUAAUACUUGGACAACUUAAAACACGUGUGCGCAUGCACAGGGGCUUUCUCAGAGACAUCACUGAGUGAAUAAUAGGCUGCCUGGGCCCUUACAGCAGAGCCAAUGAAAUUUAGUUUUGCUCGAGUUUGGUUAUUGGUGUUAUGAUGCUCCCUCUGGGCCAUCAAGGAGUGAAACUGGAGCGCUCAUUUUUGGAGCUGUUGAAGUUUCAAGCUCCUUUGAGGUAUUGGCAGUGGGCUUGGCAUGCUUUCAGAUGUGGAUGGCUUUCCCACUAAUACCUCGCAGGCCCAUGGGACAUUUUUUUAAAAGUUUGAGCACCAAGUCAACCCAUCUCCUUAGUGGCAGUAGUUGCUUUAUCUGUGAGAAUAACUGUCCUUCUUAGCUUCUCAAUUUGUCACCUGUGCAGUGAUUUAUUACCUUCCAAAGCUGCAGUAAUUAUAUAAUGAUGCAAAAAUAAUGACAAGCCAUUCUGAUAAACUUUAUUACCUGUAGCAUCUUGUAUUCAAACUGCAUUCUAGCACACUCUGUAGGAUUACCAAGCACCCCUACAUGUGUGACAGCCAGCAGGGAGGGCGGCUUCUCAGGUCUGAGAGGAAAAGAGGAAAAGAAACAGGAUUCAAGCUUCCUGAACAGAGGCUGGGAAGAAUUGGGCUGGGGUGAGUUGAUUCCCAUUUGGGGCACAGGCCAAAUGGACUUAUCUCCAUUUUUAUCCCAACAAUUCAGUAUUCACUUGCCUAUUUUAAAUUGGGGCUAUAGAAUUGGCUCUUUAAACAAUCUUCAAUGAAAUAUAUAGUCAAAAGAAUGUAUAUAAAUGAUGUGCAGUUGAACUCUUAUUUUUAUCUUGAACCCGCACCUUUAGAGCCUCUCCUUUUUAUCAGAUGACAAAGUUUCCCCUGGAGCUGUGUUGCGAGGCACUGUCCAGUGUUCUAGUCUUGAGAGUGAAGGACUCAAGAAGGCUGACGUACAAAGUAACUUUCAGAUUUGCUUCUCAUUUUGGAAAAAUAUCUGAACUUAAAAUAUCUUUCAUGGGGAAUUGAGAACUGAGAUACAAAAUCAUAAUGUGGCUGGUAAGAGAGUUCUUUUAGUAAAUGCAGCUUGCCUAAUUUGGGUCUGUGGUUGGAGGGUCAGGUCUUCAAUUAUUUUCCUGAACCGAGGAGUAAUGCAGUCCCUAUAGCUGACUGUGGAGGCCAGGAUAAUGGAUAGGGGUCCUGUGCUGUCUUCCAUCUCCUUCCUGAUGACCAGCCAGUGACCUCAGGCAAUGCUUGUUUCUUUUAUGAUGGAUUCUCCUGGGAUUGUACCAGGGGGCUUAGGCCAGGCCUGUGUCCAGAGUUGGGCGGAGGUGCUUAAAAAUGAGGAAAAGUCAUGAUUAUAUCAGAGUACAGAUGAUUCCAGUACUACCAGUGCCCACAUUUCUCAUCUUGACAGGCUCUUAGUUGGAUUACAUUUCCUAGCCUCUUUUAUAGUUAGAUGGGAACAUGUGACCUAUUCUGACCAAUAGAAUGUAGGUAUUUCCAGGACCGGCCAUAAAUCUCCCAAGCGUGGCUCUCCCUUCUCUUUUUCUACCGCCUGACACCAGAGAAGGACUAUGUAAGACAGAAGAACUGUAGAUGGAAGUGGCCUUAGAAGUUGAGUUACUUCUUAAAGGAGAGACUCCUAGGAGUCCACAGAACUGUAAUGUGAAAGAGAAAUCUUUUUUUGUGUUAAAACAUUGAAGUUCCAGGGUCAACUUGUUAGUCUAGCAUAAUUUACCCUGUUCUGACUUCUUGGCUCUGAGAAUCUGUCUUUCUAGGGUCACAUCUGCUAGGGGUUGAAUUGGAGCUGUAGCUGCCAGGCCACAGCAACGCUGGGUCCCUAACCCACUGAGAAAGGCCACGGAUUUAACCCACAUCCUCAUGGAUACUAGUGGCGUUCAUUAUGGCCUAGGUCUUUCUGAUUGGCCAAGGCUGUGCUUUCUUCUUCUGAGUUCUCAAAAUUGGGAAGUAUCUCAGCAUGAGAAUGGUGAUUUGAACCCUGGAGAGUCCAGAUCUGUAGAUGCUGUCAGGGAGGUGGUGGUUUCAAGGCAAGGGCUAGGCAGGGCUUCUCAGUCUUGGCACUAUUGACAGUGGGGCCGGAUGGUUCUUAGUGGUGGGGACAGACUGGACAUUGUGAGAUGCUUAGCAGCAUCCCUGCUAGAUACCAAUAGUGCUUUCCACCUCCCUACAAAUUAUGACCAUCAAAAUAUCUCAAGACGUUAUUAAAGGUCCCUGGGGGAAGGGGGAAAAUCACCCUUAGUUGAGAACCACUGGUCUAGACAAAGGCAAAUCCCCAGCUUUAGACCUCAGGAGCACGAGUUUUCCUCUCUGCUUUUCCCUACUUCAUAUCAUGGAUUGAAGCAGUCUUUGCUUCCUCAUAAUACAUGAGGACCAGAGCUGGCGUUUUUUGCCAUUUGAGACUCUCCAGGAGUGGAGCACAUCAUCUCCACUGGCUUCCUUCCUUCCCUCAUAUUAGUAUCUGUAGCUGCAAAACAAAUUCCUUCAAAACUUAGUGGCUUAAAGCAACAAUAACUUACUAUAUUGCAGUUUCUGUGGGUCGGGAAUUUACAAAUAGCUUUGGUGGGUAGCUCUGGCCGAGGGUCUCACAUGUGGUUGCAGUCAAAAUGUUGGCGGCAGUCCAGUCCUCUGAAAGCUUGAUUGGGGAUGGAGAAAUUUGUUUCCAAAAUGGUCCCUCAGGUGGUUGUGGGCAGGAGACCUCAGUUCCUCACCAUGUAGGCUUCUGCAAAGUCUUCCUGGGCAUCCUUACAACGUGACAGCUGAUAAGAGCAAGUGGUUCAAUAGAAAGAGAAAAUGAGGAAGAAGCCUUGGGAUCUUUUAUGAUCUGAAGUCACACGCCACCACUUCUGCUUUUCUAUAGUCACUCAAAGCAAAUCACUAAGUUGGGCACCUGUUCCAGAGAAGGAGAAUUGGCCUCCACCUCUUGGAGGGAGGAGUGAAAAAGGAUGUGUGGACAUAUUUUGAAACUAUCACAUCCAGUACCAAGCUUUCUUUGCUUAGCUACACUGGGCUACUCUCCAACCCUUGACACAUGAGGUGUAUUCUUAGAUUUUGAACUCCCCCUACAGUACUUUUGCCCAAUCUUCCAGAUUUCCAAUUCUCACUGGACUGUAGCAUUACCCAGGAGUUACCUUUGGAAAAGAUCUGAUGAACUCAUUCAGGCAGGUU